CCUACGGGAGGCAGCAGUGAGGAAUAGUGGUCAAUGGACGCAAGUCUGAACCAGCCAUGCCGCGUGCAGGAAGACGGCGCUAUGAGUUGUAAACUGCUUUUGUACGAGGGUAAACGAAGAUACGCGUAAAUGUCUGAAAGUAACGUACGAAUAAGGAUCGGCUAACUCCGUGCCAGCAGCCGCGGUAAUACGGAGGAUUCAAGCGUUAUCCGGAUUUCUUGGGUUUCAAGGGUGCGUAGGAGGUCGGAUAAGUGAGAGUUGAUAUCCCGAGGCUCAACUUCUGAAUUGCCUCUGCUACUGUUCGGCUAGUGCGUAGUUGCGGUAGGCUGCAUGUAUGGUGUCGCGGUG
rnacentral:rRNA from 1 species